rnacentral:tRNA from 1 species
GUCCAGGGUAGCCUAGUGGUCAUGGCAUCUGCCCGUAAGCGGAAGGUCGUGGGUUGGAAGGUCGUGGGUUCGAUUCCCAUCCUUUGACA